rnacentral:rRNA from 1 species
GAUGAACGCUGGCGGCGUGCCUAAUACAUGCAAGUCGAGCGAACGGACGAGAAGCUUGCUUCUCUGAUGUUAGCGGCGGACGGGUGAGUAACACGUGGAUAACCUACCUAUAAGACUGGGAUAACUUCGGGAAACCGGAGCUAAUACCGGAUAAUAUUUUGAACCGCAUGGUUCAAAAGUGAAAGACGGUCUUGCUGCCACUUAUAGAUGGAUCCGCGCUGCAUUAGCUAGUUGGUAAGGUAACGGCUUACCAAGGCAACGAUGCAUAGCCGACCUGAGAGGGGGAUCGGCCACACUGGAACUGAGCCACGGUCCAGACUCCUACGGGAGGCAGCAGUAGGGAAUCUUCCGCAAUGGGCGAAAGCCUGACGGAGCGACGCCGCGUGAGUGAUGAAGGUCUUCGGAUCGUAAAACUCUGUUAUUAGGGAAGAACAUAUGUGUAAGUAACUGUGCACAUCUUGACGGUACCUAAUCAGAAAGCCACGGCUAACUACGUG